AGAGUUUGAUCAUGGCUCAGGAUGAACGCUGGCGGCGUGCUUAACACAUGCAAGUCGAGCGAGAAGAUUUUGAUAGAACCUUCGGGUGAUGGAUAAAUUGGAAAGCGGCGGACGGGUGAGUAACGCGUGGGCAACCUGCCCUAUGCAGGGGGACAACACAGCGAAAGCUGUGCUAAUACCGCAUAAUGCCAAUUUAUCGCAUGGUAGAUUGGUCAAAGAUAUAUCGGCAUAGGAUGGGCCCGCGUUUGAUUAGCUAGUUGGUGGGGUAACGGCCUACCAAGGCGACGAUCAAUAGCCGACCUGAGAGGGUGAUCGGCCACACUGGAACUGAGACACGGUCCAGACUCCUACGGGAGGCAGCAGUGGGGAAUAUUGCACAAUGGGGGAAACCCUGAUGCAGCAACGCCGCGUGAGCGAAGAAGGCUUUCGAGUCGUAAAGCUCUGUCCCAAGGGAAGAAAUAAUAUGACGGUACCUUGGGAGGAAGCCCCGGCUAACUACGUGCCAGCAGCCGCGGUAAUACGUAGGGGGCAAGCGUUAUCCGGAAUCAUUGGGCGUAAAGAGUACGUAGGCGGCCAUAUAAGUCAGAAGUGAAAGGCUACGGCUUAACCGUAGUAAGCUUUUGAAACUGUAUGGCUUGAGUGCAGGAGAGGAAAGCGGAAUUCCUGGUGUAGCGGUGAAAUGCGUAGAUAUCAGGAAGAA
rnacentral:rRNA from 1 species